GACGAACGCUGGCGGCGUGCUUAACACAUGCAAGUCGAACGAAGUGGCGAACGGGUGAGUAAUACGUGGGUAACCUGCCCUCCUUUUUGGGAUAAGCCUUGGAAACGCGGUCUAAUACCGAGUAAAGGUGGAUGGGCUCGCGGCCUAUCAGCUUGGUGGGGGGGUGAUGGCCUACCAAGGCGGUGACGGGUAGCCGGCCUGAGAGGGUGACUGGACACAUUGGGGCUGAGAUACGGUCCAGACGCCUGCAGGAGGGAGCAGUGGGGAAUGGUGCACAAUGGGAGAAAGCCAGGUGCAGCGAGGGCGGGUGGGCGAUGAAGGGUUUAGGGUUGUAAACCUCUUUGGAUAGCGAACGGGUAGGUGAAGAAGAAGCGACGGCUAACUACGUGCCAGCAGCCGCGGUAAUAC
rnacentral:rRNA from 1 species